AUUUAUAUAGUUUACUCAAAACAUUACAUUUUCACUGUAAAAAUAAACUUAAGUUUUAUAAAUG
rnacentral:tRNA from 1 species